CAACAGAAUCUCUGUGUUACGUUGCCCAUAAAAAUAUUGAAGAUGCUCUAGUUGAUGAUUUAUGAGUAAGUCAACUGCUCUUUGCCACUUCCACUUCAAGGUGUAAUGAGCUAACCAUCCCUUCUGCCGUCUCACUCCACCCAACUGCACUCUGGUCACAUUCCCCGCUCUCUGGUGAAGCCAUAGAUUACUCAGCAGAACCCUGAGGCAGGCUUCAAAGGGUGAGGUUUCUAUCCCACUAACCAGACGCUCUCCCUCCCUGAGGGCCAGCAGCACUGAUCCUUCCUUGGGCUCUUUCCCUUGCUUUCAUGACUCCAUGCUUUCCCCUACUUACCCUUGCGGAGGAACACAAGGAGUUUUCUGAAAUCAAAAACAGGUAUGUUCCCUCUAGAUAUUUUAAAUUUUAGCUCCUUCCUUUCUAAUAACCCCUUCCAGAAAUGUCAGUAAGGGAUGCUAAUCAAGUUAGUGGUUUAUUGAAAGCAGACUACUUUCAGCACAAUGUUGGGCUCUGCUGGGAACCAUCUAUGACAUAGCUGCUAUUCUCAGACUUGUAAUCUAAUUGAGAGACAAGUAGUGCUCAUCCACUCAUUCCUAUGGACAUUCAGUACACAAUUCUUGAGUGCCUACUGUAUGCUAGGUAUUAGGGAAACCAUACAAGUGGUUUCCAAACUCUGAGCUCUGGCCCCCCGGGGCAGGAGUUAGGGAAUGGAGUUAUGACAGAGGGUUGUAAAUCCACAUAUGUCACAGUGUCUGCACAUUUUUAUUCUCUUCUUAUUCAUGCAUUCAUUUGACAAAUAGGUACUGAGUGUUUAUAAACUUAGAAUAAUGUCUCAGAUGUGUCUGUGUAUUUUCCAAAAGCAUUUGGAUGCAGUUGUGAUCAAUUAAAAACAAAUCCACUUAAAAGUUUUACUGAAUUUGAAAUGUCCUUUUCUCACUGAGUAUUUUCUGGGUCAGUGGACACCAGAAGUUCAUUCUCACCAUGGACCUGCAGAGAAAGAGUUAACACUUUUAAAAUGUGUUCUUAUACUGGAAAAUGUGGGAACAUCUGCAAGAGAAGGUUAACAGAGAGUCCAUAACAAUACCUGAAGGUGUGGGUUUUGUAGGAUGACAGGCAGGAAUGUGUAGGCAAAGAAACCAGGGAGGUGUGGGGGGGAAGCACAGAAGCAUGGGCGGGCACCAACGCUAUAUUUAAACAACCCUUACCUAUGUUGGUCCACGGUAUGAAGACCACAUUACUUUAAAAUAUGCACAUAAACUCUCUCUUCUAAAACGAUUUAGUGACAAGUUAUUUUAUAAAAUUAGUAUAUCUAUCAUAACAAAUAAAUAAUCCAGAACAUCUAAAUCUCCACCUUACUACCCAAUCCUGAUUAUUUAGCUCCAUUUACGUAACAUAGGUUUUUCUAAAGCAAAAUAUACUACAGUCGUCUGUGUUCAUCAUUCUUUAUACUUUUCCAAGGGCUUUCCCUAUACGUGGUUUGACUGAGCAUCACUAGAACGAUGAGAUGUGGACAGGACAGGACAGGACAUUAUUCUGAUUUUAUAGAUAAAGUUAGAAUGCUGAAGAAUAGACAAUGAAUUACAAGGAUACAAAAGUAGGCAAGGGUUAGCUAGGUAAAAUUGGCAGGAAAGUGGAUUACGAAGAAAUGUAAAAUGGCCCUGGGAUGCAGAAUCUGGAAUUUGGGAAAGAGGAGGUAAGCUAAAAUCCUGUGCUUCUACGGGCGGGCCAUCAUGAGAGUUCUAAAAAGACUGUGCUCAUAUUAAACACCAAUCUCUUAAAAUAGAAAAAGAGACAUUUUAAGAAGGGCCUAGAAAAAAAGGCAACAACAAAUAUUUUUUAAAAAAUGGAAAAUAAAAUCUAGAAAAGACAGUCCAACAAGCAGAGGGAUGCACGGCAGGAAAAUUAAGGGCAACUAAGUGAGGUUCAAGUUGGCUAAAUGGAAUUCAACCCAGUAGGACUUUCUGUUAACUGUACUUUCAUGGAACAAUAAUUCAUGUGGCCUUAAAAAAGUCCAAAAGAUUAAACUAUAUUGGGUCUCAUUUCAGGUGAUGCAUAUUUAAGUGAAAGGCAUCACUGUCAAAAGAAUGAGCUUGGGUUUGAAUUUUGCUUUCAACACACAUUAGCCAUUAGGCAACUACUUAAUACUUAAACUGUCUGAGCUUUGUUUUUGUUUUUUUUCCAUCUCUAAACUGAGUAUGAUAACAUUUCCCUUGCAUGGUUGCUGCAAAGAUUCGAGAUGUUAUAUGCAAAGCACCUAGUAAACUACGCAGGACAUUGCAGAAACUCAAGCAGGGAGAGUUGGUAUGUUGGGUGGUGAUGCUAGGUCUAAUUUAUAUGCAUUCUCUUGGCCUGAGCACUAGACUUGGAGUCAACAGACUCUAAGUUUUGGGUCCUGACUCUUCCGCUUAGUAACCAUAAGAUGAGAUAUUAUUAAAGGUAUUUAGGUUUAUUCAUCCUGAAUCUCUUUUUCUCAUGUAAAAAUGAGUAUAAUUUCCCCUCCUAUUUCUAGUUCAAGGUUAAAAUGAAAUGGUGUAGGUUAAGUUGCUCUUAAAUAUAAAUGUCGUAUAAAAAGAAUACCAUUGCUACUAAAGUCUUUAAGUGACCAAUGUGUCACUAUAUAUGUAACAAUUGUAUCACUGUAAUAAGAACAUAGGGUAGAAGUCUCUCCAUGUUUUCAGAAGGCCUAGUAGCAACAACAACAAAAACCCCUCAAAUUAUAAGAAAUGUUGAGUUAGCCUAGGGGAAAUUGUUCAAUUUUAUGGAUAAGGAAACAUUUGAACAGGCUUACAAGGGUCAUGGUGGACCGUCCAUCUGUAGGUUGACAUCAGAAAGGAUGAACAGCCUUCUGUCCCGAGUUUAUCAGAGAAUCAGAGGGUCCUCAGCCCAGGAUGUACCAGAGAUUCGGCACAUUCAGAGGCAGAAGAAGGCAAGAAGCUGUGGAAACAGGAAUCGCAUAAGGGAAUGGACUCUCCAGAUGAAUCUUCAGCCACGGGCGCUCUGGCAUCAGCCCCCACUCUCUUUGCCCUGAAAAAUCUCCUCCCGGGAAUGACUGUCCUCUUCCAUCCGGAAGACUCUAUCAAUGUACGAUUUUGCCUCCAAGCCUUUUUGGAAGAAGGCAGGAAUAAAUAAUUUACCAUUAGAAAUCUCUUUCAAAAAGCCCCUCCCCUCUUUAAUGGUUAAUAAUAAGAGUGCCUACCUCAUGGGGUGGUUGUGAAGACAAAGUGAGUCAAUGAAGAAGUUCUUAUAACUGCCCAAUGUAUGCUUUAACACUGAGAAAUGUCAUAAAAGUGUUGGCUUCCUGUAUAACCAUGGUUAUUUCCACUUUACAGAUGAGAGAACUGAGGCUUAGAGAAAUUAAAUUACCCUAGCUAAGUCAUAGAACGUAGAGGUAGAAGCAAGAUUCAAAUCUAGGUCUGUCUCCAAAUCCUAUAAUCUUAACUACUGUGUACAAACAGUCAUAUGCCUAGCAUUGGGCAAUCAUUCACACAUUAGCAAGAAUUUGCUCAAGCACAUUGUUUUAUGCUGAAAAUCAACUCAGCUCAGCUGCACUCAGGAAACAGGAAUUUUGACUAAGGAGGGAGGCAAGUAGGUUAUUUGGGGAAAGAGCAGAAGAGCUGAUCGAGAGACCACAGCUGGGUAUUGAGUAGGCAGCCUGGAGGCAGUGACACCCAUGGACAGGAGAGGUAGAAAAAAAGAGCAGUUUAGGGGGAGUCAAAGAUGAAUUCUGACCCAAGUGAAAUUUCAUCUCGAUCUGACUCAGGAGAAGGGGGAGGAAGAGUUCUAUCUUUUUCCCCACCUACCAUCUCUUGUCCCACCCACGGUUCCAAAUUACUUAUUAGUACUCUUGGUAGACUACAAGAAAGUUUAAAUAAACUUUUGUGGGCUGGCUGGAAACAAAAUGCUUCCACUCCCAUUUGUCUUGUGUUUCUUUUGGGAAAUGUGUGCUGAGUUCCCAACAAAUGACUUGUAAUGUAAUACAACGUCUCCCUGGGUUAGGCACCUUGCUGGGUGCUGGGAAUACCAAAGGAGAUAUAAGGCAAGGUGUGUGCCCUUGAGCAGGAGCCCCGAGGGGGAGAGAUGUGUAAGCAGCUAAGAGACAACGCGCUGAGUGCAACGUGCUGAGUAUAACAGGAGAGGUGUGUACAAAGUGCCUUGGAGCACAGAGGAGGGGGACGGGGAAUUGCUUUUAAAUCAACUUUCGGAAUCCAACCUCUCGGCAAGUUGGGAGCUGCAUGCAAUGCAUUAGAAGUUACUGUAAGGACGUACUCACCGUUUAGUACUGAAUGAACUCAUUCUUCAACAGGACUGUUGCCUGCCUUUUUCCUGGCAAGCAGUAAUAUCAGUAUCUGUGUUUUUUUCGAAGAGGUUAAGAGAGAGAGGUGAUUGCAUGGACCCUGAACUCAGACGGCUCUGGUUUGAAUCUGACUUUCACUUACUAGUCAUAUGACAUUUGCCUCUUUCGGUCUCAGUUUUUUUAUCUGUAAAAUGGGGCCCGUGAAAAUACCUUCUUCAUAGAGAAGAUAAAUGAGCUAACGCAUGCAAAGCCCAGCGCCCAAGAUGGAGUAAACAUCUCACCCAAAUCUGGCUACAACUCACUGGGUGACAGAUAUUAAUUGGCUUCAAAUAAUUUCACCAAGUGGAGCUGGGUUUCUGGAAGAUCGUUUUAAGGGAUACACAGACAAGCAUGUUUACAUUGUUUUUUAAAGAUUUAUUUUAUUUGGGAGAGGUGGGGAAGGGCAGAGAGAGAGAGAAUCUCCAAGCAGACUCCAUGCUGAGCACAGAGCCCGGUGUGGGGCUCAAUCUCACGACCCUGAGGUCACGACCUGGGAUGAAACCCCGACACUUAACUGACUGUGCCACCCAGGCGCCCCUUGCAUGCUCACAUUUUAAUAGCAUGUAUUUAUCUUCACAUGUUGGGGGGGGAAAUACAUAGAACCCAUCGAACCCAAAUUUUAAAGAUAUCAUUUCCUAAGAGGAAUAAAAAAAAAUUAGAAAUUUUUAGUAAAACUAAAAGAAAGCUAUUUAGGAAAUAAUAGUCAGAUGUUACAUCUUGUCUUUCAGAAUAAAAGUACCAAGCUGACCAGGAGACUUAAAUCACGGCUAGGACAGCAGACAGACGUUUCACUUUAAAUUUUUCUUCUUCUUUUCUUUUUUUCUUCCCCCCUUUUUUUUGCACUGGGCAUGGGCUUGAAUUCAUUUUAGUUUUCUUAAUAUCAAAUACAUAUAUGAAAGAACAUAUUAAAAGAUUUUUAUUUUAAAGGGAUAUGGGGAAAAAACAUCACAGAUUAGGAACUGCAGCAAGUGAUGGUCUCCCUUUCUGUGUUUUCUCCCUGUAAUGAAAUUCAAAACUCUCAUCGAGGACUCUGGGGAAAGGCACCAUUUUCUAAUGCCCUAACUAAAGGGAAAGUGCGUCUGAAUAGCAGAAAAGAAUGCCUUCUGCAUGCCCGCGCUUUCUUGGCCCCAAUUUCCAUCCUGGUGGAAAAAUUCCCUGAAGCCUACGACAGCUGAGCUUUUCGCCUGGAAUUCAGAUGAUCAGAAAAGGAAAAUUCUACCCUGACGUUCUGGGGGUACUCAAGCAGCUUGUGAUGCACACAAAGGCCAGAGAGUGGACCUGCCACCUGCCGCGUCCACCCCACAAGCUGGGGGAGCUCGAGCUCGACGGGAUUCGAGUUUGGGGGAGGCAGUGGGAAGGAGACAUAAGAGAUGAGGACAGGCGGGUGUCGACUCAUUCGCUGGGUUUCCCCCAAGUUGCAGUAAGGUCUCUGGGGCACACAGUUACCUCUACCCCUUCUUUGUAAAAAUUACCCCCAGGAAAGUCCCUCUGUCUAUCACAACAGUUAGCCUUUGAAGCUUAUGGAAUGGUCAUGCCUGGACGGGGUUUCCCUGGGGUCAGUAUCCCCAUCCAGGCUUCUCCUGGCCCAACUAUGUCACCUCCACUGACAGGCUUGAACAGAGCGGAGUGUGUUAAAGGCACACAAGACCAAGGGACACUAUGCAUGCUAUGUCUGUUAAGCAGAGCGGUCGCUUCAUACCAGCCUAUGCGUCUUCUCCUCUCUCACUCGUCCUGUGCAUAUGGCCUCCACUAACUGAGCAUCCUCCCCUGCCCUCCACCAACCUGGUCAAGCAGUCUUUUUCCCCCAGCUAGGAAAGGGAGAAGCAAUGAAUCCCCUUGUGGGUCCCACCCUGGGAGAGCAGGGACAGAGGAAAGAGUACUCACUGAUUGGGGGCAGCAGGUUUCAGAUAAAUCCUUUUAUUUCAGCCUCAAGAAUAGGAUUUUCAGGUACAAUACAGGACACCCAGUUCCAUUGGAACGUCAGAGAAGCAACAACUAACUUUUUAGUAGCAGUAUGUCUGAAGUACUCAUAAUAAAUACUUAGAUGAGAUGUUAUUUGUUAUCUGACAUUCCUAUGUAACUGGGUGUCUAUAUUUUCAUUUGCUAAAUCCGACAACCCUACUCAAGAACAACCUCAUGAGGCUGGCAUUAUUAUUCCUGUUUUAAAGAUGGGCAAAUGAGGUUUGGAGGGAUUGAGUGACCGGCCAGAAACCACAGUGCUUGCGGGCAACAGGGUAGAGAUGUCAUUUUUGACCCAGACCCACUGAUUUCAGGACCAAUGAUAUUUCUACAAUACCAAACAGGGAUCCGAGCCUUCAACAAAAGGACUAGAUAGGAUGCUGAUGGAGGAAAGUGAGACAUUCUCGAAGGAAUAUGGGGAGAUUCUUGGGUGCCUUGUCCAAAAUGUAGAAAAUCAUUCAAUAAACAGUGUGUGGCUGUAAUUGAAUUGAAUUAUUACCACGUUUGGUAGCUAAAAGACUCUGCUCCUUCCCUAUACACACUCCUAAGAAACACUUGUCCCCCCCUCCCAGCUCUAGUCCCCCUUCAACAGGACCCUUCAGCUCCUGCAGGGAGCACUUCACCCCAUGUGUAUAAGCAAUGGUAGAUGAGGUCAUUGGACACAGCUCCAAAAGAAGAUUCGAGUCAUGUUACAUCCAUUUAACACAUGGAGGAAACCCACAGGGCUGAAGGAAUUGGCUGGCCCAAGGAAUAAACCUGUCCUCUUUCAGCUGGACAACCUUCAAAGCUCAGUGUGUGUAGCUUAGUCACCUUGCUUGAACCAGGCCGCCUCACCAGAACUUGAAAAUAUCGAUGUGCACUUCAGUUGGUGUUGUUUUAGGAUAGCAGAGGCUGUGGGGAUAAAGAGAGGGAAGGGGUAUUCUCCUAGAACUCUUUCUCACUUGUACGUAAGAUCAAUCAGUAGAAACCUUCUGCCUGGUUUCCUUCUUAAAUCUAUGAAGCUCUAUGAAUCUGGACACAGGCCUCUUUUGGGAGUACAUACAGCUCAGAGAUGCCCACAAACCUCCAGGUCCCAAGGGAAAUUACUGUGGCUCUGUACGUAGGGGGACAUCUUACCCUCCUCAUCUUAAGUCCCAGUCUUUUCCUCCAGACCCUCACUGGAGAAGCCACCCGAGGAUGGAGGGUAGCUAGUAAGAGCCAAGGAAAAUGGCAUUGAAAGAAAAUGUGCACCCAAAUCUGUCACCACCGGGAAAGUUGGCUACCUUAUAAUCAUUUUAAUAUCUGAUGAUGAAAGCAAUAAAUUCUCAUUGUGGGGAAAAUUUGAAAGUGCUAAAAAGUAUAAAGAAACAAAAACUACCCAUAAUCUCCUCAUGCUGAGAGAGAACCUCUCCUAAAAUUGCGGUGAAUUUCCCAAGGAUCUCUGUCCAUAUAAUAAACAUAAUUGGCCUUAUACUUCAUCUAUGACUUUGUAUUCCACUUUUUCUAACCUAACAAAUUAUAACUUCCCUCACAUCAUUAAAAACUCUUCAAAGAAUCUUCAUGACUUUGAUGACCCAUUAACAGAUACAUUGAAAAUGGCAUAAUUUAUUUAAUUAUUCUCCUGCUGCUAAAGAUAGAGAGUGUUUCCAAGGUUUUUCCCUAAUAGAAGUAACAUAGCAGUGAACAUCUUCCUCACAUACAUUUUUUUAUCAGACCCUCGGCACCUGUUCCCUUAUGUCUAAAAUCUAAUAUAAAGUGGCAUCCGAUAUUUGACCCAAAGAUAUGUGUCUUAUCAUGUUUUCUGUUUUUGCCAUGCCCUACAAAGGGCCCCGUGUCUUCCAGAGGCCCCACCAACUGAACUAGUUGGAGAAACACUGUGGUCGAGUAUUGAGCAAGGACUACCUAGUCCCUUGUCAAAUGAAGGGGGCUUCUUCACAGCCGGGAGUUCCAAUCCCCUGUAGACUCGGGCCGUGGUUUGUAAGAGAGAGACAGAGACAGAAACAGAGAGAUAGAAACAGAGAGAGAGAAAAUCCCAGGAACCAUUCUCGGAGAAAGCACCGCACAAUGUAAUGCCGCUGGGAACGUGACAAUAAAAAUCCUCAGAACUGUGCCGCUUGGUAUUUUUACAGAACCAUUGCUUGCUGAUUCAGUUAAUGAUAAUGUUGGGUUCCAAAUUUUUUCCAAAAGGGAGUCUUAAGUGUUCUCAACUUGGACGGGGCUGGCUUAAAAAUAAACAAAUAAGUUAUAUAAGUCCAAACUUUGGAGGAUCAGGUUUUAGAAGCCCAAGCUCUGGCGUCGGAUUAAAGGGGCCCGCUCACUUCCUGUGGUGGGGCCUCACGUGCAGCCUUCAGGGAGGAGCAACAAGAGAACAUUCCAGCGGUCCCUGAAAUCCAGCUUCUAAUUUGAGCACCAACACCCACCGGGAACCGUGCAGAGGGCACCCCGCAUCGCAGGGCUUAGAAGACAGGGGAGAGAGACAAAAAAGCAAGUGCCACCACGGGUAGCUGGGGACGUACUUCUCUUUCUUUGCUUUCUCCCAGUGUCAGAUCUUUGGAAAGGCUUAAUGGUGUUAUUCAAGAGCUGUCAUCUUCUGCUUGGCAUCUGGCUGCGUUUUAGUGGGAGGUGAACCGAUUACUUGAAAGCUUCUAAGACUCCUCCUCCAGGAAGAAAGACGUCAGAUUCCUCAAAGUGACCAGGGUGGAGGGAGCCCCACUUUGGGUCCAGCUGUGGGAACUUUCGAGGGACAGGAGCAGCCCAGGGCUCCGGCGGGGUUCAGAAUCCUCCAUGCACUCCAAGAGUAAUAAGAAUAUGCGAAAUGUCACAAAUGAGUGUCUCCAUUCAAGUAUUUAGGUAUCGCAGUUAUUGAGAGCUUUGUAAGUGGGAGGUGCUGAGGACCCAAGGAUAAAAGAUAAAGUACAAUAGACCCUGCCCUCAAAUUGCUGAUUCUCGCUGAGGAGAAUAGAUCUGGUCACAAAUAGCCAGGAAAUGCUACAUGCCCAUCACAAAUGGCAGUGGAGACGAGGGAUGGACACGGGCCAGGAGAGCAAGAUAAAAGCAGUACUCACUUCUAGCCAGUAACCGGCUUUCUGGACUGCGGGCCCAGUGUGGCUAUAGCCUCAGAUUUUCCAAAGCAGGAGAAUGCGAUUUUUCUGUAAAAUAUCCCCAUUUUUUUUUAAGCUGGCUGAAAAAAAUUGUUAACACUAUGCAAACUAAACAGAACAUACCCAUGAGCUGGAUCAGAACAAGCCACCAGUGUGGACCUCUGAUGCAGACUCUAUUUGUUAAUAUGGAGAAAUAUCUACCCUUAUGAAAAAAGCACUUUACAUAAAUAUGUUGAAUAUGAUCUUGUUCCAAAUCAUGCAUUUAACACAUAGGAAAAAGAUGGAAGGUGAUACGUCAAAGUGUUAACAAUAGAUUCUGGACAGCAGGACUAUAAAUGAUUUUUUUCCCUCUUGUUUUUCUGUCUUUAAUGACAUUUUUACAAUGAGCAUGUGUGGCUUCCAUAAUCAGAAUUUUCAACAAAAUUAAAAUUUUUAUAAGAACACCCAAGUGUUGUUUUAUUAUGAAACAGGUAAUAUAUUUUGAAAGCUUUAAGAAAUAAGGAAAAAUUAAAUAAGAAUAAGAAUUAUUGGAAAAUGUUAAGAAUAAUAAGGUUUGAGUAAUAAGAAAAUAAAUGGUGCACAUUAGACAUUUACAGUGAGCUUUACAGGCAUUAUUUUACUUAUUCUUCUCAACUUCUGUGUAACGGGACUACUGUUAUUCCCGUGCACAGGGGAGAGGAUGAGGCUCAGAGACAUUAAGUAACUUGCCCAACGUCACACAGCUCAUAAGUAGCAGAGCUAGAAUUCAAAACCCAGGUCAUCUGCAUCCAGAGGGUAUGUGUUCUCCUAACCUUAAGAAGGAGAUUAGUCCCCCACUUUCCAAGGUUUCAGUUUCUGAGUUUUCAGUUACCUGCAGUCAACUGUGGUUGGGAGACAGAAGAUCUUCCUUCUGACAAGUCAUCAGAAGGUCAAUAAUAGCCUCACGCUAUGUCCCAAGUGCCUACACCUGUCACCUCACUUCAGCUCAUCGUGUAGGCAUUUCAUCCUCUCCCAUCAUCCCAAGAAGAAGGUUGAAUACGGUACUAUCAGGUAUUUUGAGAGAGAAAGCGAGAAACCACAUUCACAUAACUUUUAUUACAGUAUACGGCUAUAAUUGCUCCAUUUUAUUAUUAUUAGUCGUUGUUCUUCAUCUCUCCCUGUGCCUAAAUUAAACUUUACCACAGUCUGUUUGUAUAGGAGAAGCAUGGUAUCUAUAGGGUUUCAGGCAUCCACUGGGGGUCUUGGAAAGUAUCCCCCGUGGAUAAGGGGUGAGUAUUGUACUAGAAGCAAAGUGAAUGAGGAAGGUCAAAGAGAUGGUGGUCUUUGACCUGAGCCUUGAAGACCCAGUAAGAGUUCCACCCGUAGAGAUAGGAAGGAAACAAUAUCGCAAAGGAGUUGAGAUGAUCCCAGGGGGCAGAGCAAGAAGUUCUGAUGAAGUGAGGUAAGUGGGCUGGAGACAGUCACGAGAGUCGGAAGUACUAAAUGCCAGGCAGGCUAAAGAGUUACACUAUAUUUAUAGUCAGUGGGAGCCAUUGACAUUUCCAGUACCAGAAGGAGAUGGGUGCCAUGGUGUUAUUAACUUGCUGGGACCGCCAUAACAAAAUACCACAGACUGCGGGGCUUACACAACAGAAACUUAUUUUCUCACAGUUUUGGAGGCUGGAAGCCCAAGAGCAAGGGCAAGCUUGGUUUCUCCUGAGGCCUCUCCCCUUGGCUGGAAGAGGGUCUCCUUCUCACUGUGCCCUCCCAUGACCUUUCUGCUGGCGUCCCGCCUUCCCCUUCUCCUAAGGACACAGUCAGAUUGAAUUAAAGCCAACCCAAAUAGCCUCGGUUAACUUGAUUUCCUUUUUCAAGGCCCUGUCUCCAAACACAGGCACAUUCUGAGGUACCGAGGGUUAGGACUUCACAUGAAUUUGGUGGAAAACCCAGACCAUAGACACCGUUCUCAUCUCUUUCCCUCCUCCCCAUUUUCCUCAGUACCAAACAGCCCAGCGUGAACAAUGACCAUCUCUGCGCUGGGACCCUCAACACUUAUCACUGAGAAAUGUGUUAUGAAUUACUGCUAAGAUUUCUCUCCUGAUUCUCCUGGAGCUCUGGGAGUUCAGAAGGCCAGUCGGUGUUGGCCCAUGAGGUCACAUGCAAAAAAGCACAGUCCAAAUAGCCAUAGGGGAUUUUCAAAAAUAUUGUAAUCUCUGACUUGCAUCUUCCCAAGCAAACUUAAAGAGGACCCAAAUCAUAACCCUCCAGCCACACGGGUAAGCCUAAUUCUCCCUACUCACGGCAGCUACUUCCUUUCUUCCCUCUAAACCCCUAGACUACAAAGACAAUUCUCUCCCCUCGCCUCUUCCAACCUCCCAACUUUUUAUUAUUUAAUUCCUUUCUACAGGAAUCAGGGCACAGGGUCAUAUUAAUAAUUGUCUACCUCGGGGCACCUGAGUGGCUCAGUCCGUUAAGUGUCCAACUCUUGGUUUCAGCUCAGGUCAUGAUCUCAGGGUCGUGAGAUCGAGCCCUGCAUGGGGUUCUGUGGUCAGCGGGGAGUCUGCUUGAGAGUCUCUCUCUUCCUCUGCCUCUGCCCUUCCCCCCCUAAAAUAAAUAAAUCUUUCAAGAAAAUAACCGUCUACCUCAUCACACGCAGAUAUGUCUCCCUAACACCACUAACACAAGGCGGCGUUGGCAUAACCCCUUGUAAACCAAAGCUUUUUUUCACUUCAAUUCUAUCUCCUGACGCUUCUAGCAACUCAGGCAACUAGAAGGCAAUUUCAUCUUUGGAGGCUGGGGGAAGAAUGAGGUUUUCAGAAAUUUUUCUGACAAACUUAAGGUUGGCUAGUGGUGGGGUAGGAACUUGCCGGUCCCUACAGCCUUCUUCCCAGGACUCGACCCAGGAUGCUUCUAUUCUCAAAACAGGUGGCAAUGGGGGUUUGGCCCACAGCCCGGAAGUGCCCCAUAUAAUAUUAAGAACAUUGAAAUAUCCCAGAGUUGCCCCAAAGUAAUUUUCUUUUUUUUUUUUAAGAUUUUAUUUAUUUAUUUGACAGAGAGAGACACAGCGAGAGAGGGAACACAAGCAGGGGGAGUGGGAGAGGGAGAAGCAGGCUUCCCGCGGAGCAGGGAGCCCGAUGUUGGGCUCCAUCCCAGGACCCUGGGAUCAUGACCUGAGCCGAAGGCAGACGCUUAACGAUUGAGCCACCCAGGCACCGCCCCCCCCCCCAAAGCAGUUUUCCCUUGCCAGAAAGCACAGUAAGAGAUGGCAAUCUACAUAUAAAUGCAGGACUUUUUUUUUUUUUUUUUUUUUAAGAUCUUUAUGGUGUUUGGGAGAGAGGGGGAAUUUUUUUUUUUUUUUCCAGAAGAGUUGUAUUUUUAAAGCAGUUUUCCUUUUGCAAAGUGGCAAACUUCCCUAGGUAUUUUUCACUCUCAAAAGUUCUUGCAACCUUUAUUGACACCCUCUGCCUGUGUCAAAUGGCAGGAGCAAUGGAAGUCAUUUGGCACACGGCAGGGAGAUGGCAGGGAAACAGUCCCUCCCCUCCACUCGGCUGUCAGGGUAAUCUGUUUUCCUCAUUGCUGCAAAGGAAACCGUAAGCGCAUUUUGCCCACUCCAAACCCCUGAAACUGGAGUUAUGAGGUCGGAUGGAGGAGGCCAGGAAAAAUAAUUUCUUGGGGUGGUUUGCUGCUUUCUGAGGCCUUUUACUAGUGACCUGUAAUACUAAUUACCCCGCUUUCCUGUCUGAAUAAGACAUCUUUAUGAUGAUUCACGGCUGUGGAAGUCAGCUUCAAUAAACAGGCCACUGAAAUUCAAUUCUGUUGCAUCUCAAAACUGGAUUCUUAGGAUCUUCACAGGUAAAUCCAGUCUCCUUGUAAUCCAGGUCAGUGUUAGGUAUAGACAUGGGAGCAGGAACUCCGAGGCCUUCUGGGGGGAAAGGAACCUCUGGUGGUGGCCCACUUGGGGACAAAGCAUAGAAUCAUUUCUUUCUGCUCUUUUGGGUUUGUUUGUUUUUAAAGGAGAUCAAUGUCUAAGAAAUCCUGGUUCCAUCAUUUAUUGGCUACGUAACAUUUUUUUGCAACUUUAUCUCUCCGUGCCUUGGUUUCCUCAUCUGUAAAAUGGGGGAAAUAGCAGUACCUACCUCACAGGGUUUUCAUGAGGCUUAAAUGAGUUAAUAUUUAUAAAGCAGUUAGACCAGUACCUGGUACAUAGUGAGGGCUCUCUGCGGAUUUGAAAAAUACACUUGGAGAAAAUAGUCAUGUUUAAUUAAAUCAAGCAGAGUGACCUGAAGGGCAAAGUUGGCUGCCUGUGCCCUGGGAUCUGAUGCUCUCUUUCCUGCAGAGUGAGCCUGAGUAGGACACCCAGAGGUCAGAGCAGCCCUUCAACAAUGAACCAAGAAGUGAGGAGGGAAAUGCACAGGUCCAGAGCCGGCCGUUUGCUUUCCCAGACCAGCGAACAAUCGUUCUCAGAAACAGUUAGCCGACUUCAAAAUUUUCCUCCCUAGAAAAGAAUUUUGAGGGAUGCUUGGGUGGCUCAGUUGGUUAAGUGUCUGCUUUUGGCUCAGGUCAUGAUCCCGGGGUCCUGGGAUCGAGCACCGCAUCGGGCUCCCUUGUAGCUCCCGGGAAGUCUGCUUCUCCCUCUCCCUCUGCCUGCCGCUCCCCCUGCUUGUGCUCUCUCACUCUCUCUGUCAAAUAAAUAAAUAAAAUCUUUUAAAAAAAUGAAUUUGAAAACUAUACCUCUGCACGCAUGCUUAAUUUGCCUAAACUUUAAUUUAUCAAAAUUUUAAGAUUAAAUGAUUGCAGAAGAUACAUUAUACACUAUAAAAAUUGACAUUUGAAAAGAAGACAGUUGUAUCACUAUUUUAAACAAAUCCUAUGGAGUUAUUAUCUCGGCAAAUAUCCUAGCAAUUUGCCACCCAUCAUUACCCAUUUAAAAAAUACACAAAUGGAAAAUAAAAAUUAAAAAAAUAUAUACACAAACAAGCUUUUCUUUCAUACUGAGAAAUCGUACAUUUCUCUUUUAUCUCCUUAAACUAUUCUAUUUGUCUUCCUCCUCGGAAUUUUAUCCUAAUAAAAUUUUUGUAAGUUAGUCUUCUGUUCAUCAUCCUGUUGUGCUUCUCUGCAACACACAUGUGAAUAUUUUUUCCUCUGGCCACUAGGCUCUAAAUAUAAAAAAAAGGAAAGAAAGAAAAGAAAGAAAGAAGGAAGGAAGGAAGGAAAGAAAGAGAAAGAAAGAAAGAAAGAAAGAAAGAAAGAAAGAAAGAAAGAAAGAAGAAAGAAAGAAAGAAAGAAAGAGAAAGAAAGAAAGAAAGAAAGAAAGAAAGAAAGAGAAAGAAAGAAAGAAAGAAAGAAAGAAAGAAAGAAAGAAAGAAAGAAAGAAAAAGAAAAAAAAAAGAAAGGAAGGAAGGAAGGAAAGAAGGAGGAGGGAAGGAGGGAUGAAGGAAGGGAGAAAGAAAGAGAGAGAGGUUCUUUGAGAUUUAAGUAUCAUAAGUUACUAGCAACAUACAACUGAUCAAAACAUCAUCAAUAUAUUUUAACUUUUGAUAUGUAAUUAUAAUCUCACAAGUAAUUUUAGUGCAUUUCAAUGAGAUGGGUGGAGAUAUUUCCCCCCAAUUAGUUAAUAUAUUCAAGAAUGACUAUCACUUACUAUUAGAGAGAUUAAAAUUAAUCUAAUUAAAAGAUUAGAAUCAUUGCUAUUCCCGACAUUCAGUUCUUUGAACUCCUUCCUAAGUGUAUGCCCCAAACACAAUAUAACUCGUAAGCAUCUAUAACUUUGAUUAGGUCUUUCUCCAAUUUUACUGAAAGUAAAUAAUUGAAAACCAUCUAAUUUGGGAAAGGAUUUGUUAUUCAGUCAUUAAUGUCUCAUUCUGUGAAGUAUAACCAAAAAGGCCAAGACUUGUAAAUUACUAUUAUUUUACUUGCUAUCUUUUCAUUUAGAGGCACUUUGUUAAAUUAGUUUCAGUAAGAGUUGAGAAAAUCAAAAUACUUAUUUACAUCUUUUGGAGUAGAACUACGUUAAUGUUUUUAUCUUGUGGGGUGCUUUAAAUAAAAUUUUGUCAAAAUCUUAUUCAGAUUUGGCUCAUUCAACUGAUGAAAAAUAUUCUAUCAUAUAACCCAAUUAUCAGACAAAUCAGCCAAGUUAGGUACAUUUCUUGUCAUUAAAAGUGUGACUUUAUUUCUUAAAUGAGUGUCUUAAUAAUCAUUUUGGAGAGUAUUAUUUAAAAAACCACUGAGAAAUAAAUUAUGGAAUGCAUCAUAGAAAAUAGAUUACUAAAAAGCAGCCACGUUUACAUUGAUAUAGAUCAGACAUAAUUAAUUUUAUAAUGAGUGUAAAACAGGAUAACAAUGCUGUUUCUCAUUACUUGAUUUGCGAUAAAAUAGCACACUAUUUUCACCAAAUUAUGUUAUUUGUGGAGCCAGAAAUGUGAUAGAAAGCAUGAUACUCUUUCUGUAAGUUGUGUGAAUCUGUGCUUCUAACUCUGAUAUGUGGCUUUGGGAAUAAUUAAAUAAGAAUUAUGUCCAAAAAUCAGAAGUAAUUUUGUUAAUUUCCUUAGUUCUCAUGCCUAAACUUUUGUUUAAUGAAGUUAUUUAAUAAGAAAGUAAUAUGUAUCCAUAUACUACUAAAACUAACCGAACCAACAUGUAUCAAAUACCUAAGUAUUUAUUCAUAAGAAGUAGGUAAGAUACGAUUUUUAUCAAAAUCAGCUCUAACAACCUCAUGGAAUAGCAUAUACAAUAUCUGAAAAAUGUAACCUAAAAUUUCUAUCUUCAGGUUUUAUGCAAUGUAUCAUGGAAAUCUUGGUGGUCCGAGAAAAUAUUCCAGUUAUAUCUUUUAAGAGUUAGCAUCAUUAAUUAGCCUGGACAGCUCAAUUGGUGUCAGGCACUUUCCUUUCCAGUUAAUGAUAAGUCCUAGGGAGGAGGAAUCAGACUUUUCUUAAAUACACAAAUUCUCCCAACACACACAUGCACACACAUAUGCACAGAUGUUGCCGUUAGUAGUCAGAUUCAACCACAAGAACAAAAAGAUUAUAGGAUACCCACCCAUCAGAUAAUAAUGGCCAAUAUUUAAUGGGCACUUACUAGGUGCCAGUCACCGUUCAAAGUUAUUGACAUAUACUAGCACUUAACUGGUCCUUAUACAGCAACUUUGUGAGGUUGGUCUGAUAAGCGUCCCCAUUACCAGAGGAGGAAAUGGAUACUCAGAGGCCACAGGACUGGCAGCUGGGGAAGGCAAUAUGUCAUCCAAGGGCGCCUUAGCUCAGUUUAAUCAUCACACACUUGGCCUUCCUGGCACAUGAGUUCAUUUAUUAUUACUUCCAUUCCAUAAUUAACCACUACUGGUCCGUAAUAGCAACCCCGGUGGUAGGCAGAAUAAUGCCCUCCCCAAAGGACAUCCAUAUUCUAAUCUCUGGGACCUGUGAGUGCGUGGCAGGAGGGCCUUUGCCGAUGUGAUUGAGUUAGGGAUCUUGAGAUGGAGAAAAUGUCCUGGAUUACCCCAGUGUCCUCAAAAGGUGUAUCAGGGAACGGGAGGCCGGAGAGUGAGAGUCAGGGGAGACCUGACCGUGGAAUCAGAGGUCAGAGUGAGUGACUGCUGAUUGUGAAGAUGAAGGAAGGGGCAUGAGGCAGAGAACAGCAGCCGCCCCGAGAAGCGGGAAAAGGCAAGAAAACAGGCUCUCCCCUAGAGCAUGCCGAAAAGAGCACAACCCUCCCAACCUGUUGAUUUUAGCCACAUAAGGACCAGGGCAGACUUCUGACCUCUCCAACCAUAACAUAAUAAAUCUGUGUUGUUCUAAGCCGCUAUGUUUGUGGUAUUAUUACAGAAGCAAUAGGAAACUAAUUCAACCGCCAAAGCACAAAGCAAGGGCAUCAAUCAGAGGAGGGCAUGAGCAUCGACCAACCAUCGUAUACAAGCUGAUGGCAGCACCAUGCUUGCUGCCAAAUAAAGCCGGGAAAUACGUUUGAGCAGCUAAGAAACAACAAAUAGGUUCUUGUUUCGGUUCUUGCCUCUUGUCUCCGUUUUGGAAUAAGUGAAGAUUAUCCAUGGAGAUUCUCAUUUUUACUUUUACAAAAUUGACUUUGGUGGUUCUUUUUAUGAAACUUUCCCCUUCUUUGCUUCAGUAUCAAUUUUUGCUUGAAGAAAUUUUUGCUUGCUUUUCAAAACUUUCCCUUUCCGAACAUUUCCUGCUGGGUUUGAGCCCUGACUCUACCAGUGAACUUGCUCCCAGACCAUUGGCAUUAUUAUAAUUGCUGCAGUAAUAAUUCAUGUAACUACUACCCCGUGCUCAAAGGAAGCACCUUCUCUGCUCUUACAUAAUUGCUAAUUCCGCUGUCAGACGGUCUUCCUGCAUCUCAAGCUCCACACAGCAGCCAGAGGGAGUUUUCACUCCAGAAAUCUGACAGUGUCAUUCCUCUCCUCCAACUCCUUCCCUGACUCCCACUACACUGAGAAUGAAGAACAGAUUGCUAAGCGUGAGAGCCAAGCGCCCCUCGUGAUCGGCCUCCCCUCAUGGUCUCCCAAACUCACCUGGCGUCUCUUUCCCAAGCUCUGCCAGACUCCAGCCCUACCACGCUGCUCAUCGCUCUGAAACGUGGCAGGUUCUUUCAAGCCUCUGUACCUGCACAUCCUGCUUUCUUUACCUAGAGCAACAUCUGCUCCCUUUUCCAUCAGGCUAAUGCUGUCCCCUCCUUCCCUGACUCAAGGAGAGAUCUGAUUGUUUCCCAGCAUCACCGGCAAAGACAUAGUAAUAGACAUACAGGUGUGAGUCCAGAACAUCCACCCAUUUACCUUUGAGCUGUGGUUUCCUAUGUCAUCUAUCUCUGAUUUCUCUGAUUUCCUGGCUGGAUACUGAACUACCAACCUCUGUUUUCUGGCUUUUUGGCUUUGGUCUUUUCCACUGGACCACCGACACUGUAAUGCUCAGUCCCUUGAACCUAGUACCAUCUGUAGCCCCAGGUAAGAGACAUUCCCAGAGGAUUCAGCCUCAGGUCAUAGCCACCCAUCCCCCUACACACACACACACACACACACACAGCCCAGAUGAGAAAACACUAAGGGACACUGAUAUAAUAACAAUAAUCUAUACCUAUUGGGUACCACAGCAUGCCAGGCAUUAUGUUAAGCACUUUGUUUCUUUCAUAAAAAAGAAAAAUCAGGGUUCCUGUGUGGUGCACUUGGUUGAGCGUACCAUUCUUGGUUUCAGCUCAGGUGGUGAUCAGGGUCAUGAGGUCAAGCCCCGUGGCCAGCUCCAUGCUCAGCAUGGAGACUGCUUGAGAUUCUCUCUCUCCCUCUCCCUCUGCCCCUCCCCACUCCUUCUUCCCCAUGCUCACACUCUCUCUCUCUAUAAAAUAAAUAAACCUUUUUAAAAAAAUGAAAAAGGAAAAGAAAAAUCACCUGCAGGUAUUAUCUUUUCUCCACUGACAGAUGAGGAAACUAAUUUCACUAAGAUGAAAUACCUUGUCUAAUGCCAUAGAGCUUUUAGUGAUCGAGCAGCUGGAUCACAUGACUUUUGGGAGUUCAUCAGUUAACCAGCCCCAGUCCAUUGUUUUCUGAUCCUGUGGACCCCCAGCCACCCCCACCACACUUGAAAGUACUUCUCUGAACUACCAAAGUUACUUUUCAUUUAGUUCACUGGAGUCUAAUUGUGUGGACCUGUGUGUCUCCCUAGAGACAUGAGCUCCUCAGAGUAGGGAUUGUGUCUUUCAAAACUGAGCACACAAAAAAAGCACAAAAAACGUCUUUCUAAACUAUUACCAGUGGUCCCAAAACAUAUCCAUUGCCCUAGCUUUGCACACCCUCCUUAACUGCAUUUAUGCAUACACCUACCAGGAAGCUAGGAACAAAAUUUUGGUCUCCUAUCAACCCUCUCAGUUCAGGUUCCCAGGGCAAUUAUGAGUUCUCCUUCUGAACUGAUUUUUAACUGGCAUAUUAGGUUGGUAUUGUAAGUCACUUCCAAAUCCCUCAAGAAAUCAAAAGUGUUUUUUAUUUAUAAAAGAAUGCAUAUGUAUGUGAGAGUUUAAUAAAAUCCUAGGAAAGUGAAGUUUAAAAGCUGAAAGGAUCUAUGGGGGGGCAGGGUCAGCUGGUUCACAUCUUCCUUUUUGCAGACAAAACAAGCAAGGUCAAUGCCAAACUUAAAAACUAGUCCCUGAAUACAUUUUGUGUUUGGCCCACCUGAUUCUUUUUUUAAGUUGAGUCAAUAUUUUUAAAUUGUGUGCUCAUACACACACACAUACAGAAAGAGAAAGUGGGAGGGAGGGAGAAAAAGGGUUGUGUUGGUUCUGCUUCUGUUGAAAAAUUGAAAUAUCUGGUAGCCUCUAGGUAUAUACCCAAGAGAAAUGAAAACAUCUGUCUAUGUGAAAAUUUGUACAUGAAUGAUCAUAGUGGCAUUAUUCAUAAUACCCCAAAGGCAGAGACAGUCCAAAUAUCCAUCAACUGAUGAAUGGUAAGUGAAAUGUGGUAGAUCCAUAUAAUCCAUACAAUCCCUAGAAUGGAAUAUUAUUCAGCCAUAAAAAGGAAUGAAGUGCUGAUACAUGCUGUAACAUGGAUGAACCUUGAAAAAUAAGUGAAAGAACAAGUCACAAAAGGCCCAAUAUUAAAUGAUUCCAUUCAUAUGAAAUGUCCAGGAUAGGCCAACCUGUAGCCAGGGAAAGAAGAUUAGUGGUUGCAUGGGGCUAGGAGAGAGCAGGAAUAGGAGUGGCUGCUAAUGGGUAAUGGGUCUCUUUUUGGAGUGACGAAAAUGUUCUAGAACUGAUUGUGGCAAUGGCUGCACCACUCUGUGAAUAUACAAAAAAACAUUAAAUUGUUUAAAAAAAUACGCACAUAUAGACAUAUACCUGCAUAUACAUGGGUGUGUGGAUAGAUAUAGACAUGAAUAUGUAGCAACAGGGGGCCCACAUAACUGUGGAAUUCUAGUAAUUAUUGGCUGGAUCUAAGUCAUGGCUACCGCCUUUGAAUGAAACUUCUUCCAAAGUCUCCACCACUCAGCUAUCCCCAACUACAAGCUUCACCCACUUCACUCAACUGUUUCCUGCCUGGCCUGGGUCUUUGAGUUUUCAGCUUUGGAUCAAGACUAUCAUGGAAUUUCAAAGAUAUAAAAGAUGUCACCAGUCUAAUCUCUUUACCAAUAGGACAACAGGAGUCCCCAUUCUUGUCAUGGUCACCAUCAUUCAUGGUCACCUCAUUCAUGGUCAUGAACACCAUCCUCUGCUUAAAUUCUUUCAGUGAGGGUCAUUCACUCCGUAGUAAGUCAUCCCAUUACUAUUGUUGCUACUGUCAUUACUGUUAAUAACAUUUAUGUAAGGACUUGAAAUUUACAGAAUGCUUUAACUGCUUUAUCUUGCUUGAUCGUCGUAACUAACCUGUUAAUUACUUAUUGUUAUCCACAGUUUACAGAUAAACACACUGAGAAAUUGGAUGACUUAUCCAAGGAGGUGGAAUUUGAGCUCAGAUUUCCUGACUUCAAAUUCCAUGCUGUUAUAGUAUGAAACAUUGCCAACAUACAUAAAAGUGCAAAAUCAAGUAAGAGACAUCCAGGUACCCACCAUUGAGAUUAAAGAGAUGUCAACUUUUGCGGUAUUUGUGUCAGAACUCCCCCAUGCUCUUUCUCCUGUGCUGGGGUUUACCAUCCUUGAGAGGACCCGAUCAUCCCAAUGUGGUGUGUAUAAUUAAGUCCAAUCCCUCCAUCAUGGAGGGCCAUUCUGUCUUCAUUUUAAACAGAUGUUCUUGAGGAUUUCCUUGGUUCAAAGGAAAUGUCUAAAGGAAAAGGAGGACACAGAGGGAAGAAUGAUACAGAAACCCUUGGUGAAUGUUCUUAUUUUAGCAUAUAUCGUUCGUGACAAUCUCUCCCUCUCAUUUUCUAACAAUUGGUUAACUCUACUUUCAAAAACUCCAUGAGACGGACCCAACUGUUUUGUUACACUAGAGUACAACUGUGUCAAAUAAGUGGGCUUUAACUAGGUGGGUACGGGCCAGGUUGUAGUAAAACCAAUGGUGCUGUUGUGCUGGAAUCUACUCAGUGGUUGGGGAAAUAACCUGAUGUGGGGUGGAGCAAUUUGGAGAGGCUUUUCCAACUCUACCACUCGUUGACUGUCCCAUCCACACAGUGGUUGGUGUCCCCGGGCCUCCUUUCCAUCCUAUGUAAAAUGGAGCUAAGAACACAGGCUGGACCCCUGUUAUCCCUGCCCCAGCCUGGUCCAGAUGUGCUCUUUCACCCAGCACAGCUAAGGAAGAAUCACCCUAUGCCUGGAAAUGCAACUCAUUUCAUGAGCUGAAUGCAAUCAGAGGGCUUAACCAACUGAGCCACCCAGGCGCCCUUGAGGACUGAGGAGCCAUCUCAAGAUGAGUCAUCUGGCUCAAGAGUUGAUUGUCAGUGGUCCUAGCCACACACUUCACCACCAAUAGCCAUUUCAUUUUAUCUCUGCACAGAUGUUCAAACCACAGAUUUCCUGGGUCUGCAGCCUCCCAGGAAAUGGAAGCCAAACAACAGAUGAUUCAUAUUUCCUCUCAAGUGGCAAGAAAAACUAUCUGCCACGGAAAUCGCCACCAACCUUGCAAGGCCCUGGCCUGAGGUUCUCCUUCCAUGUGCUCAGCUGAUGGGCUUGGGCUCGCCUGGGUCCAGAGACUGUCUGUCCUCCCACUG